UACGUAGGGGGCGAGCGUUGUCCGGAUUUAUUGGGCGUAAAGAGCGUGUAGGCGGUUCGGUAAGUCUGUCGUGAAAUCCUGAGGCUCAACCUCGGGCGUGCGAUGGAUACUGCCGGGCUAGAGGAUGGUAGAGGCGAGUGGAAUUCCCGGUGUAGCGGUGAAAUGCGCAGAUAUCGGGAAGAACACCCGUGGCGAAGGCGGUUCUCUGGGACGGUACUGACGCUGAGACGCGAAAGCGUGGGGAGCGAACAGG
rnacentral:rRNA from 1 species